ensembl:ncRNA W06H8.12 ncRNA
CUCGCCCCUCUCUUGUGUAUAUGUAUGUGAGCGAUUCGAUUCGCACGCUCGCAUUACAGCGGCCCGAGCGGGCAGCCCGCGGCCCCGUCGAUAAAUCGAGGAGAAGAAGAAGAAGAUGGAAAGAGGACUGGUCUGGUUUCCACUAGGACUAGAGGCAAUAUGUGUAGAUUCGAUUCAUUCGAUUCUGUUCCGUUUCUUUCUCUCGUACUUCAGCCCUCCAUCGAGUAUCGAUUGUCGUUUUUGUACAGUUUAUUGGCCAAGAGACGUGCAGUAUUGAAAAUUUU